AGCAGAUUUCAGCAGAACUGUGGCUGCUUGGUGGUGUUAAGCCAUGAAGGCUAUGGAGCUGGGGAACUUGCAACAGGGAAUCAGGGCCUGGUCUGUGGCAGCCUACCCAGGGAGAUUUGUUUGGUUCUUUAAAUGCCAUCUUUCUCCUGAGGUGAAACCCAAAAGAUUGUGUGCAGACAGAUAUGAGCUGCCAUAGAUAAAGUUCCACCAUUUCUGCUUGAGGACUUCCUAACAGCAACAAAAAUAGCCCCCCCCCCCCCGGCCUUCUGGAGCAUCAUUUCUAUGACCCAGGAGGACUCCAAGAGUACUUUAAUAGUGAUCGGAAAGAACCUGAGACUGGAAUAAAUUCAGAUGUGGGAGAAAGCAAAACUGUCAUGAAUAAGGAAUGCCUGAUGGGAGGUUAUACGUGGACCUUUUUCCAAGUGGCUGUCAGUACUAUUUGGUAAUAACCAAAUAUGAUCAGGUACUUUCAUUCUCUGGUAACCCAGAAAUGGCCGUAUUGGGAGGGCUGCACAGCAUACAAGGACUCUUCUACUCAACUGACUCCACUUUCCAUAUGAAACCCAUGAACGAGUUCAUCAAACAGCUCAAAAUCCAUAUCUGA
rnacentral:lncRNA from 11 species